AUAAAAGAGAAACGAAUGCAGUUCCAUUGUAAAAAGUGGAGUUGUACAAGAGGUAUAACUGCUAUUUUUUCAUCCUAUCUUAACAUGUCUUGAAGGCAGUGUCAUGUUUAGGACAUCUUAAAAGAGCAUAUAGUAUUUCUCUUAAGACACAUAGCUAGAGAUGGGAGGUUUUCCUAUUUUUUUGGUUAGCAAGAUGUAAGGAGCUUAGUUAGUAAGGAAUCUCCAUGUAAUAGAAUAAAUAGACAGUUAAAAGUAGAAGUCUUGUGAGACAAUGAAAGAAAAAGGUGGUUGAGUCCUACUGUGUGUUAUUUCUUGUACUAUACAUUGUCUAUACAAUGACAAACAUAAGGUACUUAAUUUUGGUUUCAAAUAAUCACAACUAGAAAGCCACAAAUUGACUUUUCAUUUUUCCCUUGCAAGUGCAAUAAAACCUAAGGUAAACCUUCCUGCCAAAUUGCAUUUAUGGGAACCUCGCUUUCCUGUUCACUAGUUUUACUCCAAUUAAUUAAAAGCAGCGCUCCUGCCCUGAGCUCUGGUUUCCAAGGUAUUCACAGAAGGGCUCAUGCCCCAUCCAAAGUCCUGAGUGAGACCAAAUCAGAAGUUCUUCAUGGACUCAUACCCUAGGGCUCCUGCACCUGAAGAUUUGAGGUAUGGUUUUUCUUUUUUUUGUAAAGUUUACUUCUUCAUAAGAUGGAAACCCUACAAUGCUGAAGAAAACAGACCUUACGGAUUUUAAUACAGAACUACGGGGAUGAAAACAAGCUUACUCUGUGCUGAUUCAUUUGCUUACUUGUUUCAAAUAGGAACAGUUAUGUUGAUGCCUCUAUAUGAGGACAAGGUGAGAUGAAUAUUUAGAUUUCUUUUUUUUUUUCCUUAAUAUUGUUAUUCUUUUCACAAAUAUUCCUGACUGAAAAAGUUCUUUAAGAAUUCUGCACUCUCCUUGCUUUCCAAUUAAGUUUUCUAGGCUUUCUUAUGUGGUCCUCUGAGUGCUGGAAAGUAACAGAAACAAGAAUGCAUUUAAUACCUGGCCUGGUGUCUUGGCAGCAAAGCUUAGCACUCCAGAGUGGGGAGUAGCAGGUUCAAGACCAACCCCAGGAGUCUUACUACUUGGACUGGCAGAGGGCUAGUGUAAUGCACAGACAGUGAGCUCAUUCUGCAGGUGGAGUGUUCAGCUGCAUUGAUCUUGUGGCAAACCCAGCCUGCUAAGGUUUUGGAGAAACAUUGGCUCUGAUCUGAAAGGAAAUUGUGCUGCCUUUCCCUGUCUUUCCACUAGUUUAGCUUGCAAGCUCUAAUAACAUUAAAACAUAGUUUAAACAAGAAGGCUGACAAAGCCAGAGAGACACAAAAUAAUUUCCUAGAAGUACUAAAUACAAUAAGUAAAACUCUAUAAUCUCCCAUUAGGUAAUUGUAUUUUCAUGGGGUCAGCCAGCCUCCCUGGCUAGGUUGAGGUCAAUUCUAAAAUAUGUGUAUUAUAUACAUUAAGCAUCUGUUAAUGAAGCAUGAAUUUCAUCAGCAAUCUGGGUGCCAAAAUCAACUCAUUUUGGUACAUGGUUUGCAUCUACAGUGGUGUCUUAUGGAUCUGCUUCUUAGAUUGAACAGCAAGGUUGUAUAGAUGCAAUGAAUGGCAGAUAAUAAGGAAAGAAAGCAACACCAGGAGCAUUUUCAAGAAGCAUAAAUUCUCUAAAUUUUCACUAGAGGAAAUUCAGAGUUCAGAGGACUUUAAGAUGACAGUAAGUAAAGAGUAAGAAAAGAUCAUGUUACCUGAUCCAAGAAUAUCUGGUCAGUGCUGAUAAUUUCCCUAUAAGAAAAUAUGAAACAGUAGUAGAUAAGUGUGAAGCACAUCAUCUAUUUUUGAGCGCUCUUUGUUGGCUAGAGGUAACCAAGUGGGGCUUCAGUUUAAAAAUUCACCAUUACUUUCCUCAGAUCCAUCACAGGGACCCUGGUAGAGCAGCAUGAAAACAAUACUCUGUUAUCAGUUAAGAAAUGAGCCCUUGUGCUUCUUACUUCUCCUGUCAGGCCAAGGUGUUAAAUGUAGGACUUUUUCCCAACAAUGACAGACCUAGAAAUGAAAACAAGUUCAAAAACCCCAAUGGCAAACCUUACAAAGUCAUAACGACCAUCUUCAUCUGCAAGAACCGCAGGCACAAAUGCUAUUUUGCUUUGAAAGUGAAGUGAGGUUAUGUUCCUUCUCAACAUGUAGGCUGGAAUACUGCUUUGUUUUAUUUAAGCACCACAGGCUCUAUGGACAGCAAUGAUUUUGGUCAUUUUUAAUAGCCCGUUAAAGUGGCAGAAGUGUUUGAGUGUAGUAGCCAAUGUAAAAAAGUAUAUUAAAUAAAAAAAAAAGUCUUCAGAGUUCGGAAACGGUCCCCUUUCAAUCCUUAUGUUUCCAUAGCUGAGCACAGGACUGCUGUGUGCUUUGGCAAUGAAAAAUAAUAUAACAUUUUUUGACAGAGCAAACUUCACCAGUAGCAUAUGUUGGAGCAAUACUAUAGGCUCCAAGUUGUAUUAAGCCAACUAUAAGUUUGACAGCAGAAAUAUAUCUGUCUCCUUGAACAAAUAGUCUGAGGCAUAUAUGUAGAUCCAUACAAGCUGUUCUCUUAGUUUCAACUCAUGUGAAGUAAAGGUGAGAUUUUAGUAAGCAAUAGCAUAAGCAAAUUACUAUGAAAAAGAAUUCAUCAUUCCAAGAAUUGUCUCAUAAGAUAUUGAAUCCCAAUGAGAAAUGGUGAUCAACAAGUGUACAGGGAAAAAGAGGAUCUCCUAACUAAUUCUUCAACCCUCUUCCAUUGCCACAUGAGGAGAGGAUGGGUAAGUAAAGGCAAGUUAGUCCUUCUUACUUCUUCGUAUCCAAACCUCUGGGGACAAGGAACUGAGUAAGGAAUAUGGAGAAAAGGAUGAUAUAUCUCUAUGUUUGUAGAUGAAUAAGAGAAAUUAGAUACAGACUCCUGUCUAAUCUAUAUCACCAUCUGACCCUAAAUAUUUGUAUAUGUAUGUUAAACCUCAGUUUUGCAUUACUUAGUAAAUAAAACAUACAGUUGAAAAAAAAAAAAAAGAUAAAUUAAGGUGCAGUAAAUACUACUUGUUAGCAAGAGGCAAAUUUUAUGUACCCUUUCCACACAAAAAAUAUAUAUUUUUUCUUCCUUGUAAAUAUGAGUAUGUCCUUCCGUUUUCUUAAACUGUAAAUGGGAAAGGUGAGUUGAAGGGACAGAUUUCAAUGAUCCUAUUAAUUGAAAUAAUAAGAUAUAUCCUGAGGUUGACUUUUGAAAUGUUUCGUAGGCAUGCAGUUACAGAUCUCCACACGGAUUUUGUUUCCCAUUUGUGAAAUACGUCUUAUUGCUCUUUCAGAAACAUGCUCUUCCAUCAUAUGGAGUUUGAUUAAGCUUAUUUCUUGGUGAAUUCCACCUUUCCCAUGGUCAGGGAUAACUAAAUAUCCAUUUCCUUUAGACCUUCUUCAACUGUGCCAUUUGCUGCCAUUAAUCAUGCCCUUUUGUUCACACAAAUCGGUGGCUCAAAUGAUUAGAAGGUACUACGAUGAACGGUGCCACACAGAAGAGAAGACAUGAAUACUGAAGAAAGAAUUACAGUAUCGGAUGGAAGGAAGGAAGAAACACAUGAGGCUGGGACAAGGAUUUGGAUCAGAAUGAUACAUCCUUUGCUCUGGCAGAUACAAGGAUAUGCUGGAAAACAAGCUUGCUGUCUUUCUGUUGCUGUGUCAAACCGAGACAACACAGGACAAAAGAAGGCUCCCAAAUUAAAACAAGGAAAACUGUUAUUUCACCUCAGGGGAGAGACAGUGCUUCUGUCCAUGGGCUGUGACCGUCAGAAGAAAUGGAGAUCACAGUACUGAUGAUUCCCUCCUCCUACCACUGCUGCUUCUAAUGGAAAAUAUUCACCCAUGCCUUUUGCCUAGGGCAUGUGAAACAACUCAGUGGAAAAGAGACUGCCUGGAUAAGAACAGGACAUAACCCUUGGCUAGCUCAGAGUGUUGCAGCGCCCUGCUACUUUUGGAGGAAUGAAAAUUAUUUCAGGACGUUGCAUACUUGGACACAAUACCUGUUACAGAAACAACUGUGGUCUAAGGUUAUGUGAAAGACUACUGCAGGCAUUAUGCCAGAUGGCAUUGGACAAGUGUCAUGAAGGAAUCCUGCUCCAAGGCUGUUCUUGGUGUUUUGGAUUAAGCUCUUACUGAAAAGGGGCUGAAAACAAGACUGCUGGGAGAGCAAAGAACGGACCUUUGAUUUUUUUUUUUUUUUUUUUUUUUUUUUUGCCUGCUUAAUUCUAACUCAUUUGUCUCUUCUGGAUCCUGAAUUCUGAGAAGAUAACUGCAGAUAAAAGCUCUUCAGGACAUGUGAAUUGUGCUUGCAGUGUCAGUGAACAUUAGCAGAACAUCUGCUGCAGACUGGACUUGAAGUCAAGGACCAUAUAGCUGGCUGUCAACAGGCUGCGAUUGUACACAGGGGAAAACAGCAAGGACUAGACUGAGUGGAUUCAGAAGAGUACUAUCUGACAUUAGAUGAAGGCAGAAUCAUGGGAAGGUCUGUUUCUAUCUCAUGCAGCCUAGUAGACAAGUGGAAGAGAUGGGCAUCAACUCUGCAUUCAGACUGCCUGAAAAUUCAAAUGAGUUUGGAUAAAACUUUGAAAUGGGUUGUUCCAUUCUUGCUACAGCUUCACCAGCUAAGGCCG
ensembl:lncRNA